rnacentral:rRNA from 1 species
UACGAAGGGGGCGAGCGUUGUUCGGAAUUACUGGGCGUAAAGGGCGCGCAGGCGGCUCUGAAAGUCAGAUGUGAAAUCCCCGGGCUCAACCUGGGAACUGCAUUUGUGACUGCAUCGCUGGAGUGCGGCAGAGGGGGAUGGAAUUCCGCGUGUAGCAGUGAAAUGCGUAGAUAUGCGGAGGAACACCGAUGGCGAAGGCAAUCCCCUGGGCCUGCACUGACGCUCAUGCACGAAAGCGUGGGGAGCAAACAGG